AGGUCAAUAUAAUAAAAUUAGCAAUACUUCCAUUUCCUCUAAAAUACCGUUCCCUUAAAAUAUUAAAGCCCCCUCUAUUUAUAAUGGAGUUCAGAUCACUUUGAACCUUAAAAACCAAGCCAGCUUUUUUCCCCCCUUUUUUUUCAAGACAGCUUUCUUAAGAAGAUCCAGUUUAGUUCCAUCACAAUAUAGCAAUUACCCAGCCAAUGUUGCCUUGGCCUUCUCUUCUGGAAGAAAGUUGGAAUCCAAGGGCUGCUACUGUUUCCCAAAACGUGGGAUUUACUGUGCUGUGCCUGUGUCCCAGAGCACCUUUGACGCUUCCUUUGCUCCGCUGGUCACUUUUAGCUGCUCCCAGCAGAUGGAGCCCCAGCUAAAUUUUCUUGAGCCAGUCAUUUUGUUCAUGGGGCUGUCUGGCGUAAACAGGAAGACGAGGGGAGAAAAAACUUUUGUGGCUGUUUUUGUCUUUUGAGAAAGAGAUCUGAUUUUAAAUAGAACACUUUGUGUCGGAACCGAUUUAGAUGCUUCAGUUAUAAGAGGGAUUAAGCUAUCUGAGAAACAUUUUACAAAUUCAAUCCUAAAUUUAUUUAAGGAGUUUGAUUAUCUUUAAAGGAUCCAGUGCAUAGUACUGUAUUUCACAAGCGGUUGUUCUGAUGCUGAAUGGAGGAGAGAAGCUUCUUGAAGGAAAAGUGAUGAGGGGAAGGGAAAGGAAGGGCGAGGCCGUUUGCACGCAGCCCUUGCACGGCUUCAGCCGCACUGCAGGCUAAGCGAACUGCGAUGGUGCCGCUCCCUUGUCCAGUCUUAGAAGGCCAAGCGCUACCUACUGGUCGAAAAUGUGAAAACUUGAAAUUGCGGAAGGGAGGAUCACUGUCUUGCAAAAAGGAAAAAAAAAACCAACAAAGGAAAACCUUUGAUUUUAGGUGGCCCGGAGUCUGGGUGCCAGAGGUCCCCAAGAUCCUAGAGUUGAACCUGGAUACUGGGUCGAAAUUUGUUUCCCAUAACGAGCAAUGCAGAGAAUCAGAAUACUAAAUAACAGCUUUUUUCAAGUCAGAAGAAAAAUCCCCAGGCAUUCCUAGAAACUGAAUUAUAUACUCCCUUCUGAGCAGGAGGAGGAAUUGGUCAAGAACAUAGAGGUCUAAAAGGGAAAAGGACUGACAGAAAGAAGACUGGAAAAAUGUUUGGGGCAGAUAGCGAUAGCUAUGACAAACACAUCAAAGAUAUCUACCCUGCAUCAGAAAGAAUGUUGGAAGUUGAAGAGAUGCCCAUCAAU